UACGUAGGGUGCAAGCGUUGUCCGGAAUUAUUGGGCGUAAAGAGCUCGUAGGCGGUCUGUCGCGUCUGCUGUGAAAAUCCAGGGCUCAACCCUGGACCUGCAGUGGGUACGGGCAGACUAGAGUGCGGUAGGGGAGAUCGGAAUUCCUGGUGUAGCGGUGAAAUGCGCAGAUAUCAGGAGGAACACCGGUGGCGAAGGCGGCUUCCUGGUCCAGCACCGACGUUCAGGCACGAAAGCGUGGGGAGCAAACAGG
rnacentral:rRNA from 1 species